rnacentral:rRNA from 1 species
UACGAAGGGGGCUAGCGUUGUUCGGAAUCACUGGGCGUAAAGGGCGCGUAGGCGGCCGCUCAAGUCGGGGGUGAAAGCCUGUGGCUUAACCACAGAAUUGCCUUCGAUACUGUUUGGCUUGAGACCGGAAGAGGUGAGUGGAACUGCGAGUGUAGAGGUGAAAUUCGUAGAUGUUCGCAAGAACACCAGUGGCGAAGGCGGCUCACUGGUCCGGUUCUGACGCUGAGGCGCGAAAGCGUGGGGAGCAAACAGG